rnacentral:lncRNA from 1 species
CCCAGAAACCCAGCCCCUUCCCUUCCCCCAAAAUUCCCUCCCUCCCUUCUCUUCUCUAGAAAUCAAGACUAUUGAUUAUUUUUGUUUGUUGGUUUGUAAUCAAUUUAUUAAUUAAAAAAAAUCAUCAGAAAUCAAGGGAAGAAUCAAAUCAGAGGGCUAGAAAUUCGGGGAAAGGUUACGAGGAUGAUGGCGGCAUCUUCGAAGAUGGUGGUGCGAAUUUGGAUCUUCUGCAGAGAGACGACGGAGAUCAGGUGCGGGCAAGUGGCGGCGUCUUCGAAGAUGGUGUUUUCAACCACGAAUUUGGAUCGGCUGCGGAGAGACGGCGGGGAUCAGGUGCGGGGAAGUGAAGGAGAGGAAAAAUGAUAUAUGUCUCCUAAUUUAAUUGUUGAGACAAAUAGUACAAACAAAUUCAGACCUAUGCACUCCAGCUCCGUAAGCGGUCAAGAACUCGUGGCUAUGAGACUGUUGCGUGUUCAAGCACACUUUCUGGACAAACUUGUUUUGUUGUUUUGAUUUGCAGAGAAGAGAAGGAAGGGAGGGAAUUUUGGGGGAAGGGAAGGGGCUGGGUUUUUGGGGAAGGGGGAAAAGCUUGGUGGUAGGGGUGGGUAUCAAGGAAGAGGAAGGGUGUCAGUGGGUGAAGGGUGGAGGGGAUGGAGGGUGGGGAAGAUGAAAGGGUUAUAGGUUUUUUUCUUGGUGUUUUUUUUUAAUACUUGUAUUUAAUUAAUUAUUUUAAUAUUUUAAUAACACGUAAUCUUCAGUCAUUGUUCACAUGAGUGUCACGUCAUGAGUUAAUAGGAGAUUUAACAAUUAGAUUAACAGAUGUAUGAGAUUGUCUUAAAAUUAACAAUUUAGGUAUAACUCUGGGAUAAAAAAAGUUUCAUGUACUAAAUGUUAAAAACCACGAAACUUGGAGGUAGUAAACUGAUAUUUACCCAAAAAAAUAAUAAAUGGAACCUCAAUAACAACAUCGACCUGGUACAGAAAGAGGGCCUUUAAAACUUACGAUGAGUUCAUCAAUGGAAAAAAUGUGUCACUGGAGAAUAAACUUUACGAAAGGAAAUUAACAUGAUUAGUAUCCUGAAAUUGAAAUUCUUCUUACCUUGAGCCAUCAGAAUUCUUCGUGGAUUAAAACUCUGAGAAAAUGGACACCAAAAUCUGCUUUGUUAAACGCUAUGAACACCAAAAAUCUAGGAACCAAAAUCUAGGAACCCUCCUUUGUUUUGGCGUGAAGAAAAUGGACACCAAAAUCUACUUUGUUAAAUGCUAUGGUAGGUCCGGUAGUUUAGGUACAUUAAAAUGGGUUAAUUAACGUACACAUGGAAGCAAAAUUGUAGGAGAAUUUCUAAUCAAAUUGUUAAAACAAACAAAAUAUUUAGUCUAAGAAGCUUAAAAACAGAUGUUUACGGUGUAUGUAAUUUGAUUUUCUUUUUCUUUUUUCAGGUACAUUGCUUUAUUUUUAAUGUAAUUAACUAAAGGGCAAAUUUGUUUACAAUAGAUCAUGUUGUUGGGUUAACAUAGACAAAGGGGGUUAUUAAAAUCUAAAAGGGUGUGAGUGUAAUGUUUAAAAUGCAAAGGAAUUUUAUGAAAACAACAUAAACUUGAGAGGGUAUUAAUGUGAUUAUGCCUUCUAUACUUUGCUACUAAUCGAGAAACAACUUUAAUAGCCAAGUUCAAAAAUCGGAGAAAUUUUUAGUUGUGACGGGAACACAAGUGCUACACCACGUGUUUUAAUAGGAGUGGUGAGAAAUUUUAUUUUUUAAGUUAUUAACAUUUUAACACACACAUAUCCCACCAUUUGUAUAGUGACACAUGGUGUACCACCCUGUGUACCAGUCAUACUGAAAAAUCUCUCAAAAAAUUGUUCACAAUUGUCAAUGGCAAUAUCAUUCAUAAAUAUUCAUAUGCAUUAUCAUUAUUCUUGGGCAAAUCCUAUUAUAGGUCGUCUCAUCUGUGACCUAGUGCCAUUCCAUUUCAGAAAGAAAGAAAGAAAAAAAAAGGGGGGUAAAUUACAUAAAACUACCUUAACUAUUGGGUCAUUAACAGUUUCAUACAUCAUAUUUAAAAAGUUUCAAUGUCAUUACUUAUCUUCGAAUUUGUUACAAUGUCAUACCUCCCAUCAAUUAUCUGUUAAUUCAUCUGUUAAAUGCUGACGUGGCUUGAGAUGGGGGUGAUUUUUUAUUAAAAAAAUUAUUAAAAUAAUAAAUUACCCUUAAAAUUAAAAAAAAUAAAAAAAAUAAAAAAAUAAAAAGAAAACCCACACCCAUCUUCCCCGACCCCUUC